rnacentral:rRNA from 1 species
CCUACGGGCGGCAGCAGUGAGGAAUAUUGGUCAAUGGUCGGGAGACUGAACCAGCCAAGCCGCGUGCGGGAGGAAGGUACAGAGUAUCGUAAACCUCUUUUGUCAGGGGACAAAGACUGGGACGCGUCCCCGGAUGAGUGUACCUGAAGAAAAGCAUCGGCUAACUCCGUGCCAGCAGCCGCGGUUAUAAGGAGGAUGCGAGCGUUAUCCGGAUUUUUUGGGUUUAAAGGGUGCGCAGGCCGUCUGUUAAGUCAGCCGUCAAAGGCCCGGGCUCAACCCGGGCCCCGCGGUUGAAACUGGCAUGCUCGAGUUGGAGGGAAGUAUGCGGAAUUCGCGGUGUAGCGGUGAAAUGCAUAGAUAUCGCGCAGAACUCCGAUUGCGAAGGCAGCAUGCCGGCUCCACACUGACGCUGAGGCACGAAAGCGUGGGUAUCGAACAGGAUUAGAUACCCUUGUAGUC